rnacentral:rRNA from 1 species
UACGUAGGGGGCAAGCGUUGCCCGGAUUCAUUGGGCGUAAAGCGCGGGCAGGCGGCCCGUUAAGUCGGCCGUGAAAGCGCCGGGCUCAACUCGGCGAGGACGGGCGAGACUGACGGGCUCGAGGUUGGCAGAGGGCGGUGGAAUUCCGGGUGUAGUGGUGGAAUGCGUAGAGCUCCGGAGGAACACCAGUGGCGAAGGCGGCCGCCUGGGCCAA